AGGCGCGUGCGCAGCGCAUGCGCACGGAGCUCCAGCCGAAGAGGCCAGUGUUGAGGCGGGCGAGGAGGCCGGUGGUUGCAGUCGCCCUUCGGGACGAGAGCCUCCGCUGGACACGUUGAGAAGAAGGACACCGAAGAGAAAACCCAGAAGAGCACGACAGAAGCAAGACGUAUGCCCUGCCCUUAAGGAGCUUCCGAUCUAAUGAGGGAGACAGAGAGACAGAAGUGAUUUCCCAGUAGUGGGAACGGGAAGAAAAACAAGGAUAUGUCACGGAGUAGCGCAGACGUAUCUGGAUGAAAUAGCCGAAUGAGUAAUGAAAUCAUUGCAGCCGGAAUGACUUCUCCUCCGAAUUCCAUCAGCAGGUGUCAUCUGGCCCCGGUGGUUCGAUUUCGUCUGGUUUAUCGAUGUGGUUUAGACGUUCCUGUGGUCACUCGGCGCCCCUGACCUGUGUCUGUCGGAAGAUCCGGUCUGGUACGGGAACCUUUAGCGUCUUUGUUAAUAAAGCUCAAACGGAGGAGUCGUG